rnacentral:rRNA from 1 species
UACGGAGGGUGCGAGCGUUGUCCGGAAUCACUGGGCGUAAAGGGCGCGUAGGCGGCCUGAUAAGUAGGGGGUGAAAUCCCGCGGCUUAACCGCAGGGCUGCCUUCUAAACUGUCAGGCUUGAGCACAGUAGAGGCAGGUGGAAUUCCCGGUGUAGCGGUGGAAUGCGUAGAGAUCGGGAAGAACAUCAGUGGCGAAGGCGGCCUGCUGGGCUGUUGCUGACGCUGAGGCGCGACAGCGUGGGGAGCAAACAGG